rnacentral:lncRNA from 1 species
AAUAUUAAAGAGGCAAGCACAUGGAGAGACCUGGAAUGAGAAUGGUACAGAAGUAGGACUUACAGAUCAAAAGGGCAAAGACAGGGCAAAAGGGUAAACAGGUGUGUGGGGGCAGGGGUGAGCCUGGUGAGAGCCAGGUGCCUGAGACAAGUUACCUACUACACAACUUUGUCAGGAGUGGUUCAACUGGGGGAAUCUGGCUCUAAGUAAGCAUGUCUUUGGAUCCAAGACUACUAAUGAAUUUGCAUAAACCAUGGGGCAGAAAAGUGAUGAGUCUUCCCUAAAGAUACAGAGACUUGAAAUGCCAAGUUUUGGAAAACCAGAAUUGCAACAUCUGAGUUCUAGGAAAGAUAGUCUGGACUUAAGCUAUGCAUAUCUUCUGUUAUGCCAUCAAGUACCUGACCACUCUGACGUAAAUUUGUGGCUUACCUAUGAGGCAUCCACAGGAUGCUGUUUCUUAAAUGACAUCAACUACAUGUAGUCCAUUUCAAUUCUUUUAUGGCUCUAUAUUUUAGGUAGGUUACAUUUUAAAAUUCAUCUGUAGUUUAUUUCAAUAUAAUGUAUGAGACAAAUUGAAUUUUUUUUUUUUUUUGAGAUAGAGUCUUACUCUGUCACCCAGGCUGGAGUGCAG